rnacentral:ribozyme from 1 species
AGAAAAGAAGAGAUCAAUAAGAUGAAAGAAAAAAGAGUAGUUGCGAGAACCAUUUCAGUGUUUUUCUAUCCGUUAACUGCAUGUUUCAGCAUGCUUUUUGAUGCCAUUCUUUAUCUU